AGAGUUUGAUCAUGGCUCAGGAUGAACGCUGGCUACAGGCUUAACACAUGCAAGUCGAGGGGAAACGACAUCGAAAGCUUGCUUUUGAUGGGCGUCGACCGGCGCACGGGUGAGUAACGCGUAUCCAACCUGCCCACCACUUGGGGAUAACCUUGCGAAAGUAAGACUAAUACCCAAUGAUAUCUCUAGAAGACAUCUGAAAGAGAUUAAAGAUUUAUCGGUGAUGGAUGGGGAUGCGUCUGAUUAGCUUGUUGGCGGGGUAACGGCCCACCAAGGCAACGAUCAGUAGGGGUUCUGAGAGGAAGGUCCCCCACAUUGGAACUGAGACACGGUCCAAACUCCUACGGGAGGCAGCAGUGAGGAAUAUUGGUCAAUGGGCGAGAGCCUGAACCAGCCAAGUAGCGUGCAGGAAGACGGCCCUAUGGGUUGUAAACUGCUUUUAUAAGGGAAUAAAGUGAGUCUCGUGAGACUUUUUGCAUGUACCUUAUGAAUAAGGACCGGCUAAUUCCGUGCCAGCAGCCGCGGUAAUACGGAAGGUCCGGGCGUUAUCCGGAUUUAUUGGGUUUAAAGGGAGCGUAGGCCGGAGAUUAAGCGUGUUGUGAAAUGUAGACGCUCAACGUCUGCACUGCAGCGCGAACUGGUUUCCUUGAGUACGCACAAAGUGGGCGGAAUUCGUGGUGUAGCGGUGAAAUGCUUAGAUAUCACGAAGAACUCCGAUUGCGAAGGCAGCUCACUGGAGCGCAACUGACGCUGAAGCUCGAAAGUGCGGGUAUCGAACAGGAUUAGAUACCCUGGUAGUCCGCACGGUAAACGAUGGAUGCCCGCUGUUGGUCUGAACAGGUCAGCGGCCAAGCGAAAGCAUUAAGCAUCCCACCUGGGGAGUACGCCGGCAACGGUGAAACUCAAAGGAAUUGACGGGGGCCCGCACAAGCGGAGGAACAUGUGGUUUAAUUCGAUGAUACGCGAGGAACCUUACCCGGGCUUGAAUUGCAGAGGAAGGAUUUGGAGACAAUGACGCCCUUCGGGGUCUCUGUGAAGGUGCUGCAUGGUUGUCGUCAGCUCGUGCCGUGAGGUGUCGGCUUAAGUGCCAUAACGAGCGCAACCCCUCUCCUUAGUUGCCAUCAGGUUAAGCUGGGCACUCUGGGGACACUGCCACCGUAAGGUGUGAGGAAGGUGGGGAUGACGUCAAAUCAGCACGGCCCUUACGUCCGGGGCUACACACGUGUUACAAU
rnacentral:rRNA from 1 species